AGGAUUAACGCUGGCGGCGUGCCUAACACAUGCAAGUCGAACGAGGUAGCAAUACCUAGUGGCAGACGGGUGAGUAACGCGUGGUCAACCUACCGUUGAGUGGGGGAUAACUAGCCGAAAGGUUAGCUAAUACCGCAUACGUCUCCGAGGGGCAUCCCUUGGCGAUAAAAGGAGCAAUCCGCUCGAUGACGGGACCGCGUCCCAUUAGCUAGAUGGUGGGGUAACGGCCUACCAUGGCACCGAUGGGUAGCUGGUUUGAGAGAGCGACCAGCCACACUGGGACUGAGAAACGGCCCAGACUCCUACGGGAGGCAGCAGUGAGGAAUUUUCCGCAAUGGGCGCAAGCCUGACGGAGCGACGCCGCGUGUGGGAAGAAGGCCUUCGGGUCGUAAACCACUGUCGAAGGGGACGAUAAUGACGGUACCCUUGGAGGAAGCCCCGGCUAACUACGUGCCGAGCAGCCGC
rnacentral:rRNA from 1 species